AAAUUGGAGUUGAUCUUGCUUUGUCUAAAACUGACGAUCACGAUAUCAGGAUGUGUGGAAAGAAUUUUUCUUUGAGUCAGAUUAAAGAGCUGUGUGCCUAUCUAUUGCAUUUGAGGCGACUGAGAUGAUUCAAAAUAUGCUCGUGUUACACUUAGUUGAUCUAACGGCCUCUCUAAGCAUUCAGAUUCAUUCUUGCAAAUGUUAGCUCUUGUGCAACUAAGGUGCUUUCCGUGAUAGUUCCUCGUGCAAAAAUAAACUAGAAUUUCUUAGUCAAUCUGAAGGCCAAGGCCCAACUACGUGGAGAUCACUUCUUCAGCGUAGUUUAAAACGCGCCGCGCAGGUGGAAGAGCAAGAUCUGGGGACGGCGGCCC